rnacentral:rRNA from 1 species
UACGUAGGGUGCAGGCGUUAAUCGGAAUUACUGGGCGUAAAGCGUGCGCAGGCGGUCUGUUAAGAGAGAUGUGAAAUCCCCCGGGCUUAACCUGGGAACUGCGUUUCUAACUGGCAGGCUUGAGUGUGGCAGAGGGGGGUGGAAUUCCGACGUGUAGCAGUGAAAUGCGUAGAGAUGUGGAGGAACACCGAUGGCGAAGGCAGCCCCUGGGCUAACACUGACGCUCAUGCACGAAAGCGUGGGGAGCAAACAGG